UUUCAGACAGCCAUGUUCUUCGGCAGAAAUGUUCACUCUUUCACAACCUCCGUCAAGUAUUACCUCUCCUGCCCCCACCCAACAAAAUUUCCUGGAAGCAUUAAACCAUUUGCAUGAACAAUGUCAAGAAACACCAAAUUGUUCAACUAUCAAUACUGCAGAUAUCUCAUCAAAUGUCCCAAUAUCCACUGCCCAGUCAUUCAAUAUCCCUCAAACACAGUUUACUGCAGGCUAUGAUAAUCUCGACGUACAGGAAGCUGUAUCACUUCUUGCCAUGUUAAGAAACUCUGGAAUGUCAUAGCAAUAGUAUAUUGUCAAUAUUGGUCGUGACCGGAUUUUCAAAAGUUGAGUGAAGAAUGCGUGUCUGGGCAAUUAUGUCUCUGAUUGAACAAAUGCAUGUGCAUGGGAUAAUUUUCUUUCACAAAAUUUCAUGUUUAGCUUUGUUGCCUUCAGUUUCUUGACGGCUUUGAAGAAAAUGUUUAAAAAAUGACAAUUAGCUAUGUUAUUAAUAAAAAGGGUUCCCCGAUCAUUGUUCUGUUUUUGAUUUAUUGGUGGAAUAGAAGAUGCUUAACAGAUGAAAAGCUUACGAUUUUUGGAAAAUUCUGGUACACGCAUAAAUUAUACGAAAACUUUGUCAAAAUACGAGAAACCUCAUUCAAUUUGUGUUCGUUCCAUUGCAGUGCAAAUCUUGUAAAUUGUCAAUUGUUUAAAUAAUUUAAAACUUCUAUUGAUCAAGAUAAAUUUGUGGAAACAAUUUCAUGUUUAUUUUGAAAUUUAUAACCCUGAAAUAGCUAUAUUAAGUCUUUCGAGUGGUCUAUACGGCGGCGGCGGCGGCCAUGUAUUCACAAAAUAUUCAAAUGUGUUCAUGGAUGUUGCAGUUGAACGUUAUGUUAUGUUAUUUGCCAUGUGAGGUAAUUGUUUUAUAUUUGUCUAUGUUAUAAGUAUUUGGUUUUAAUACAUUUCCUAAGGGUCUGUUCAUGUGAGCACUGAGCUCCCGUACCAAGCCUAUGAUCGCCUAUGGAGGAGACUAUUUAUCCAAAUCAAAACAUUUUUUGUCCAAUAUUCUCCACAAAUGGUAAAGAUUCCAUAUGGGUAAUAAAAAAAGGUCAGGUGCACUUUAAGCAAACCAAUCACAAAACGUGUUUGUUUUAGAUUGGUAUUUAUAUGGGUCAUAUUUAUCAACAUUCUCAAAAGCGUACAGAGAAUGCUCUUUUUUACCCCCCCCCCUCUCGGAGCGCACUUUUUAAGUGUUAAAUCUCAGGGAUGAUGAUGGUAUUAAUGGAUGGUAUUAAUUUUUGAAACGUAACAUUACAGUCGUGCCAAUAGAAGCGUUCCUAAAAAUGUUGAUCAAUUCAUUUCCUAACUUGAAGGAACACCUUAGUUCCUUAAAAAGUUCCUUACUUCCUGUUUCAUUGACCAAUCAGAUUGCUCAAAAAUAAAAUAUAAAAUUUGAUUGGUCAAUGAAACAGGAAGUAAGGAACUCUUUAUAGACUUUAAGGAACUUAAAGGUGUUCAGAGGUGUUCCUUCAAGUUAGGAAAUGAAUUGGUCAACAUUUUUCGGAACGCUUCUAUUGGCACGACUGUAAUUGUAUUUAUUUUUACUCGAGGGCGUAUCACUUCAGUCGCCUCAUCUUUAUUGGGUAUUACAAGCGUCAAGAGGAUGACUUUAGCUGAGUACAUGUAAGUGUAAUUAUAGUGAUGAGGGAGGCUCCUUUGCAUGAAUGAACGAGACCAGUAGUAACAUGUAUAAUAUAGC